AAAACGGAGAGUUUGAUCCUGGCUCAGGAUGAACGCUGGCGGUAUGCGUAACACAUGCAAGUCGAACGAUGUAGAGACGUAGCAAUGCUACGUCUCUACAUCGUGGCGGACGGGUGAGUAACGUGUGAGAAUCUGCCAACAGGUUCGGAAUAACAGUUGGAAACGACUGCUAAUACCGGAUGUGCUCAACAGUAAAAGAUUUAUCGCCUGUUGAUGAGCUCGCGUCGGAUUAGCUAGUUGGUGGUGUAAAGGACUACCAAGGCAACGAUCCGUAGCUGGUCUGAGAGGACGACCAGCCACACUGGGACUGAGACACGGCCCAGACUCCUACGGGAGGCAGCAGUGAGGAAUUUUCUGCAAUGGGCGAAAGCCUGACAGAGCAAUACCGCGUGCGGGAGG
rnacentral:rRNA from 1 species